AGUGUAUGAUGACACCUUCGUAACCCUACACAUUCCCAACUGAGCACUGGGCAAGUCAAACUUGGAGAGCUGAGCAUGCA
rnacentral:snoRNA from 1 species